AGAUGCCCUUUCUCACACUCAUUUAAACGAAAGUAAUAGUGCGAGAUUGGAUUUGACAGUUGUGUUAUACAAAAUUGAAAUCAGAAGCAAGACAUGCCUAAAGAUUAUACAAAUCCAACGGAUGAGAUCACACCAGCCCAUUGACCGCCUUCGCUCUAAUCCCGUGCCAUUUUUGAACUUCUUCUUCUUUGCCGAACUUUUCAAUGUUCAAACCCAGACCAAGACCUAAUUAUGAAAACCAGUUCAUAGAGCAUAAAUGACUCAACCUUCGAACGCAAAAAAAGCUGAAUCUUCUCCUCCUUCUCUUCCUCAUGCCCCCUCCAAUUGUGACCUUUGCUACACCUGAAUCUCGGCAAUGGAGGGUGGAUUUGUCUCGACAUUCUUAACCUUCCUCCAAAGAUGUGCUCACCAUCAUUGGUACUCAAGAUAUUGUCUCCGGCAAGGUGGAUAGAUUUUUACUCCUUAUUUUCUUGGUUACCAUCAAGAUAAAAAGCUUCAUAAACUGGGCUAUUUUUGUAGCAUGUUUCUUUAAAGUGAAAGUGUAAUUCAUCCUUCAGAAAAGGAAGUAUAUGACUCUUUCAAACAGUCUAGAAUUCUAGAUGAUUUUCCAAAGGCGAAAUAAAGUAACAAACAAAUUUUCGAUGGAUGAUCUCCAAGGCCUAUGAAGUUUUUGUUUUUUUUUUUAAUUUGGGAGAUUUAUGAGAUUUUAUUCUGUAGUAAUAUUUUCUUUCUCUCCUCUCUCAUUCGGUAUGUAAUUAUUCAGUGUUGUAAUAAUUCUCCGCCCCAUUUCUUUCUAUCUUGUUCUUUUAUUUCUUUUCAACAUAUCCAUGCCUUGCAUCCAUAUUUCAUGCAUUUUGAUUCGGUUAAGUUUGCAUUUAUGAAUUUAAUCAAUUCUUAUGUGAUUAUAUGCGUUACCUCAUGUUCUUGAAAUGAUUCACAUGUCAUAUAUUAGAAGUCGAAUCUUUAGUUGCAUCUCAUGUGUGA